rnacentral:rRNA from 1 species
GUGGGGAAUCUUGCGCAAUGGGCGAAAGCCUGACGCAGCCAUGCAGCGUGAAUGAUGAAGGUCUUAGGAUUGUAAAAUUCUUUCACCGGGGACGAUAAUGACGGUACCCGGAGAAGAAGCCCCGGCUAACUUCGUGCCAGCAGCCGCGGUAAUACGAAGGGGGCUAGCGUUGCUCGGAAUUACUGGGCGUAAAGGGCGCGUAGGCGGACAGCUUAGUCAGAGGUGAAAGCCCAGGGCUCAACCUUGGAAUUGCCUUUGAUACUGGCUGUCUUGAGUUUGGGAGAGGUGAGUGGAACUCCGAGUGUAGAGGUGAAAUUCGUAGAUAUUCGGAAGAACACCAGUGGCGAAGGCGACUCACUGGCCCAAUACUGACGCUGAGGCGCGAAAGCGUGGGGAGCAAACAGGAUUAGAUACCCCUGUAGUCC